UUGAUUGACAUUUUCAUAAAGAUCGGACAACAAACUCCGAAGUUGUUCUGGGUCGAGGGCUAAGGAAAAAAAACACAUACACAUACACGCAUAAAGUCUGUUGAAUUUAGUUAGCGUGUGUCUGAUCUUGUGAGUGUAUGUAUAGAAGAAUCUAAUCUGAUUGAUGAACAACGCAAAGCCCAUGUCUUAACAGAUAGAGUCUUUCAGAGUUGGAAUGAUUACCUAGGUUCUUGGAUUGUUCGCAGGCAGAUGGGCAAACGUGAUUACGUGGAGCAUCCGACAAAUUAUUUGGAGCAUAGGGCUGAACGAACGAAUUGCCUUAGUAGCAUUUGCUCUAUAUUUUAAUUAGAAUUUCUAUUUUGUACAAAAUUUUAAGUAUUCAAAAAUCUGGUAUAGAUUUCGCAAUUUGGAGGUAGCAACAGCAUGCGGAGUGAGGAUCGUAUAGAUAGAUCAGAUAGACACAGACCGUAUGACCGAAAUUCAAAAUUAAGUAAAACUUGUUUAUGUUUCUUAAUUUUGGGCAUUACAUUGAUAACAGUAUUGGGAAUCUUUUGUGUAUUCGCACCAAGGGCAUGGUUGCAAAAGCUCCGAUUUUGAAGGACUGUAUUCUUCUGAUUAAUACAAUUAUGAAACGCGUAUGUAAAUAUGAAUAUACGUAUAUUUAUUAUAUUUGUGCAUUGACGUAUAUCAGUGUAAAUAAAUCAUCGUAUGCAUCAAGGAAGAAUUGAUUUAUAGAAAACUUCGAGAAUUGGCUAAUUAAUAGUAAACAGAAGGCUCAGGAAAUCAGAACUUUUGGAAAAAUUCCGCAUCAACAUUGCUAACCAGAAAUUACAGAAAUGUGCGAGGCUAUCUAUACUUUAAAAUACCGUAAAGUCAUGAAAAAUCAUUGUCAUAUAUAGUGUGCUCAGAUAUAUUACGAUAUUCGGCUUCACAAUACAUUUUAUUUAUGUGUUA